GCCGAAAAGGAAAAAGAGUUGUGUAAUAAUAAAAGUGUUCUCUUCCUCAGUGUCUUUUUAAACCUUUUCUUUUUCUCAAAUAUCCUCCUCCCAACAAGACCAUCAUGACCGGUUUAAGCUUUCAGGGCUCUUGCUGUUGGGAUUUAUUUCCCAGCCCAUUCUAAAAUUACAAAAUCACAGAGAACCACACACAGAUGCAUCAAAAACUAAAAUAUCAUAGAAACACGCAACCAUAUAUGCACUCUCACAUUCGGUUUCUGGAGGUACGUUGAAAAGGAUCUUAAUUUCAUAUUAUGUAUGUUGGAUUGGACUUUGGAGCUUAAGCACCUGGUUGGUGUGAUGUACAAGGUCGGAUAGUAUAUACAUUAUGACAUUUUCAGUUGUUUGGUGUGACCAUCGUAUUCAUGCACCAACUUGAGGGGAAGUAUUGGACUGGAAGAUUCUGAAGAUAAUUUGUUUUGAUUUGUAGAUAAGAUAUGUAUCUAGGCAGUUUGUUAUUCUUUGUAUUAUUUUGCUGAUAUUCUUCCUAUUCUUCUGCUCCUAUCCCUUAUGUAUCUUACUGUUAUUCUUAGGCUGUUCGUCGGUUGCUAUAGCUUAGGAUUUGUUAAGUCUAUUUAAAGACUUUCGACUUGCACAUUCAGAAAGCAAUGAAAUCUAUUUCGUUCACUAUUUGUUAUGGUAUACAGUAGUGUUGUUUAAUACAUCAAAAUGAUGUAUAAUCUAAUCAGGGCUAGGGGGUAAGGAUUAGACCUGAUAAGAGUGUGAUGUAUUAGGUUAAUUUCUCCAUUCCCCAUCUGCCCCCUUUCUUCCCAUUGACGUUCACCUUUGAACUUUCUCAGAAACAACCACCUGUUAUCUUCUCCGUACAGUAUGCUGUCGUAGGCAAGACGGCUUGGCCGCCUGAGGGAAUAGAGACAUCUGGUCCAGGCUCCUCACGUUGACACAACACACUUCUCUUCGGCCCAUUCCAUUGUGAUUCACUGGUUUUUCUUCAUAGUUCACAGCUCACUCCUCACGUGGUAAUGGAGGUAAUCCAAGUUGGUAGGAACUUGGAGUUGUUACCAGUUUAACAUCAAAGUUGGCGAUGAGGAAGGAUAUCAUAUGGAGAUGAUGUCAAAAAUGGAAUGAAAGUAGGAACUUUGGGGCUUAUGAUGUCAAAAUUUAUUGAAGGUAUCGGAUCCAGUUCCUGAGAAUUGCACUGACUUAAGGCCAUUUCUCUUAUUAAUUGCACUGACGACAGGUGGAAAUGGUUUAAGGGUUGUCUUGGAGCUUUAGAUGGAACUUAUAUUACUGUUAAUGUUCCUGAGGCUGACAAGCCAAGAUAUAGAAGUCGAAAAGGUGAAAUUGCCACAAAUGUGUUAGGAGUAUGCUCACGAGACAUGAAAUUUGUAUAUGUGUUGCCGGGUUGGGAGGGUUCAGCUUCAGAUGCUAGGGUAUUGCGUGAUGCAAUUAAUAAGAGAAAUGGCCUUAAGGUUCCAUUAGGUAAGAGCGUGAAAAUUACAUUCAAUUUAGUCAUUUUAUUACAAUAUAUGGUAUAUUGAACCUUUCUUGUUCUAUUAAAUAGAAAAAUAUAUAAUGAACCUUACUUGUUUUAUUAAAUAAGAUACUAUUAUUUGGUUGAUGCUGGAUACACUAAUGGGGAUGGGUUUCUUGCCCCUUAUAGGGGGACAAGGUACCAUCUAAGCGAGUGGAGGCAUGGAUAUGUCCCGGCAACUUCUUAAGAAGUUUUCAAUAAGCGACAUGCUCAAGCUAGAAAUGUCAUAGAAAGGACAUUUGGGUUGUUGAAGAGCGUUGGGCAAUUCUUAGAAGUCCAAGUUUUUAUACUGUUAAGACUCACAACCGAAUUAUUAUUGCUUGUUGCUUACUGCAUAAUUUGAUAAGGAGGGAAAUGGAUACAGAUCAUUUAGAGAUAGAGCUAGGUAACAUAUCUACAAAAAUAUUGAAGAUUUUUAUUUCUACAAAAAUUAUUUUAUUUUUUUGACAUAUUAAUCGAUAAGAUUUUAUAAAAAUUAAUAUUAUAUAACAUUCAAAAGAAUUAUAUAAAUUCUUCAUUAAAGGGUAUUUUUGUCAAAAAUAUUUAUUUUUAUCCUAUCUAGUAUUAUACAGUGUAUUACCAAACACUGGAUAGUACUAUCUUAUACAAUACAUCAUCUUAUACAGUACCAUGCCAAACGCUGAAUAAUAUUAAAAUUUAACCAGGUCUUAUACUAUCAGGCCUUAUACUAUAAGGGCCUGUUUGGUGUGACGUAUAAGGCAUGAUAGUAUAAGCUUAUACUAUACGUUAUGACAUUUUCAGCUGUUUGGUGUGACCAUCGUAUAGUAUAAGCUUAUACAGCAUAAUCCCUUAAUACAUCAAAAUGAUGUAUAACUUAAUCCGGCCUAAGGGUGAGGGAUAAGGCCUGAUAAGAGAUGGAUGUAUUAAUAUCAUUGACCAAUGUAAUUCUCAAAAAUUAAUAUAUUAUUUUAAUAUUAAUCUAUUAAAAUAAAUAUUAAUUUUUUAAUAUAUUAAUUUUUAAAAUAUUAAAUAUUUUUAUUUUUAUAAAAAUUAAUUUAUAUUUUGGACACACUGAUCAAUAAAUUUUAUAAAAAUUAAUAUCAUAUGACAUUUUUUGAAGAAUUAUAUAAAUUCUUUAUUAAAGGAUAUUUUUAUUAAAAAUAUUUAUUUUUAUCAUAUAUAGUAUUAUAUAGUGCAUUACUAAAUACUAGAUGAUAUUAGGGCCGGCAAAAUGGGCUGAGCCCGCCGGGCUGGCCCGCCCCGCCUGCCAAAUGGGGCGGGCUGGGUUGAGUCUUUCAACCCACCCGCCCGCCAAACCCGCCAGCCCAUAUGGGUCAGCCUGCCAAGUCAUUUUUUUUUUUUUUUUUUAGGUUACCCAAUUGUUAUGUAGCUCCGUAUCUUAGAUUUCUCUGCUUGCAAGUGGCUUUUUUGAAUUGUUGUGGACUGCUCAUACAACACUUUGUUACUUGUUUUGUUAUUCUAUUUUAUCCUGAUAUGAUUUUUUUUUUAUUAUUAUUUUUGGAUUGAAAGAUGCAUAUUUAUAUGCAGAUUAUUAAACACUGAUCUUCUUGGUUUCAUAAGCACAUUAGGAUUUUAUACAGAUUUUUGUAUGCUUUUAUGCAGAUUUUUUUAUGUGAUUUUAUGCAGAAUUUAAUUUUUUGUAUUUUAUUUUUAUAUUUUUUUUUAUUUUAGGCGGGCUGGCCCGUAGCCCGCCAGCCCACUCAUAAAACGGGCCGGGUUACUCAAUUCAACCCAUUUUAUCAAAACGGGCCGGGGCGGGCCAACCCAUUUUGGGCGGGCUAGUGGCGGGCCGGGGCGGGCCGGGGCGGGCUGACCCAUAUUGCCAGCCCUAGAUGAUAUUAUCUUAUACAAUAUAUUAUUUUAUACGAUACCGUGUCAAACGCUGGAUAGUAUUAAAAUUCAAUCAGGUCUUAUACAAUCAGGCCUUAUACUAUCAGGUCUUAUACUAUCAGGCCUUAUCCUAUACUAUGUACCAAACAUGCCCUAAGGUCUUUUACUAUCAGGUCUUAUCCUAUACAAUGCACCAAACAUGCCCUAAAUGAAUAGCAGCAUGUUAGGGAACUAUAGAUUUAUUUUCCAAUACAGAAUUACUUGGAGACUCGUUCAUCCAUUCUUUGCAGGAAGAAAAUUUCCAAAUUUCUAGUACUGCGUACGUACUGACUUCCAUUACACAAGGUUACCUGCAAGGUCUUCCAAAUCCAUGACUGAAUUGGAGGGGAAAACAUCCGAAAGUGGAUCUAACAUGUCAGAAUAAAUAUGCUUUUUUAGUUCUGAAGGAGUACUACAAGUACUUCCCCUUUGGAUGAACUAGAAGGAAAUUCUCUUGUAAAUUAUUUUGCUCGUUUUUACCUGAAUGUUUCAAUGUGUUAAGACUAUAUUACUUGGCUUAUAAUUAUUUCCAUGUUAGACAUCUAGUAUCUCUUACAACUUAAGAGAAUAGCCAUCUCACAUUACGUUUAAAAUGAUUGACUAAUAAAGAGACAAGACAAGUAUUUUACCGAAAAUGUAAGAGAAAGUACAAGAAGUUACAUACUUGAGUUUGGUAGCACUCCACCAGGAACAGACACGUGACUAAAAUUCCUUGUGGAUAAACGGUAAUCUGAUGGAAACAUACAAUCUGGUUCAUUGGACUGUGGAUUCCUGUAAGGCAAGUCAGAGCAUGUAUUUGGUUUAUCAGCACUUUUAUGUUGGGACUGAAAUUCCUCUGGUUUUGUCUUCUUCACCUCAGAAGGCUCAACUUCUGAAUCAGAAUUACUAGGCCUCACAUUUUUUUGUUUUCUUUUUGAUUGAGAACGCUUAUUCUUGAACCAAUGAUAGGCAUUUUCUACAGAAAUUUGGCCAUAGUGACUCAGUUCACCAGUAAGCUCCUCGAUCUUGCUUGGAGUUUUAUCCUUAUCAAAUAUAUCCUGAAGAAUCUGCCGUUGCGUAGUUGUUGGAGUCCACCGCUGUUUUUUAUGGAGAGUAGAUGUCAUCAAUGGGUCACAGUCUGUAUUUUCCACCCUAAGCAACCCUGAUGGAGAAAAAAAAAAUAGAAUGUUGGAUCUUGAUGAACAUGCAUCAUCAGAUUAACAAAAUGUCAUUUUUUGUAUGUCAAGCAAAGAAAAUAAACGUCUCCUUUUAUCUUGGUGGAGGGUUGAGGGAAGCUGGUCUCAAU